CAGCACUUCAGUUUCCUAAAAACUUUCUAAAUCUGUUGUUUGAUUCUUGUGCCCUUAUGCCACAAUUUUGGUCAAAGUCUAAACUUUACCCAUCCCUUGUGUUUAGCAUAUAAAGACAUUCAGCUGUUGAAUAAAUAUCAUAAUAAUUGCUGGUAAUGUUAACUUUAUGUGUUGAAGUGUAUUUUGGAGUUCAGUAAAAUGUAUUACCGUGUUUAUUCUGUAGAGGAAUACGUAUGUAGAAGAUCUGAUUGAAGAAGUAGUGGUUGCCCCAGAACAAGUUAUGGAAUGGAUCAGGAAAGGAGAAAGAAAUCGCCAUUAUGGAGAAACAAAAAUGAGUGGACGCAGCAGCCGUUCUCACGCUAUCUUCAGAAUGAUCAUUGAAAGC